AAGAGGAAGCGCGAAAGACCGUUUAAAUAAGACGAGACGAAAAAAAGCAUCGCGAAGCGAAUGCCGGAGCCGUAUAGAAAAAAUGAUGCAUGGCCUCGGUGCAACAACAACGAUGUUGCCGCCUCAUUGUUGUACGAACGAAGAAAGAUCUUUCUGUUUCCUUCUCUUCGAAUCGCAGUGAUACCGCAACGGACUCGAGAUGUGAAAUAUCAAUUUUAUCUGAAGUUAUGCACGAGCGGUACCGGAUGAAUGUCCUCCUUAGAAAGAUGUCUUCCUGUCAGAGAUUACAGGGAUGGGUUUUAGUAGGUUAUACUGCAGUUAAGGUUAGGACCAGAAUCCGACACACCCCUGGUCACCUUCCCUCAAGUAUGAAAGAAGAAUCACGUGAGAUAUUUUUGAUUACACUCGCCGGAUAAUUUCUUAAUUUUGAGCGAUAUUUCACGCUUAGUUCACAUCAGAGCUACCUCAAUGAGACGAUCAACGACGAGAAGCUUCUCCCUACAUGACAAAUGUACGUGUCUUCCCUACGAGCUUCUUCGCAUCCCUAAAAGAAGCCGAUUCAGAGGACGAACACAUUACGAGCUAUUCCGCUUACCUACCUUAAUUUCUCCUGGCAACCAAGUGCGUCGGUACACAAAGGAAAGUGAUAAACGGAAAAAGAUGAGAGCGAGAGGGAGAGAGAGAGAGAGAGAAAGAGAGAGAAAGGGAGAGAUAAAAUAGGAGUACAAUGACCGUGCAACGAUAAACGGCAUCAGGCUGUAGGAAUACCGCAGGGUAUCGAGACUAUUCAAGCAGUAUUGUUGCGAAGAGAGGUGAAAUCCCCAUCUUCCCUGGUGUGAUGGAGGUUUGGGAAGCAUCUGUUUGUGAGCCGACGAAGAGACGAAGUACGAAAAGGUGCGGGAAAAUGAGAUGAGGAAAGAGAGAGAGAGAGA